rnacentral:rRNA from 1 species
AGAGUUUGAUCCUGGCUCAGGAUGAACGCUGGCGGCGUGCCUAACACAUGCAAGUCGAGCGAGAUGUAUAUGGACGAAACUUCGGUCUAGGAAAUAUAUUGACAGCGGCGGACGGGUGAGUAACGCGUAGGCAACCUGCCCUUAACACAGGGAUAGCCUCGGGAAACCGGGAUUAAAACCUGAUAAUGCCAAAUAGUCACAUGGCUGUUUGGCCAAAGAUUUAUCGGUUAAGGAUGGGCCUGCGUCUGAUUAGUUUGUUGGUGGGGUAACGGCCUACCAAGACUACGAUCAGUAGCCGACCUGAGAGGGUGAUCGGCCACAUUGGAACUGAGACACGGUCCAAACUCCUACGGGAGGCAGCAGUGGGGAAUAUUGCACAAUGGGCGAAAGCCUGAUGCAGCAACGCCGCGUGAGCGAUGAAGGCCUUUGGGUCGUAAAGCUCUGUCCUUGGGGAAGAAAMAAAUGACGGUACCCAAGGAGGAAGCCCCGGCUAACUACGUGCCAGCAGCCGCGGUAAUACGUAGGGGGCAAGCGUUAUCCGGAAUUAUUGGGCGUAAAGAGUACGUAGGUGGUCUUUUAAGCGCAGGGUUUAAGGCAAUGGCUUAACCAUUGUUCGCCCUGUGAACUGGAAGACUUGAGUGUAGGAGAGGAAAGUGGAAUUCCUAGUGUAGCGGUGAAAUGCGUAGAUAUUAGGAGGAACAUCAGUGGCGAAGGCGACUUUCUGGACUAUUACUGACACUGAGGUACGAAAGCGUGGGGAGCAAACAGGAUUAGAUACCCUGGUAGUCC